GGGGGUAUGGUGGAAUGGUAGACACACCAGACUUAAAAUCUGUUGGCCUAUAUGGCCGUGAGAGUUCAAGUCUCUCUACCCCCA
rnacentral:tRNA from 1 species